UGAGGGAUUUUCCACAAUGGACGAAAGUCUGAUGGAGCAAUGCCGCGUGAAGGAUGAAGGUCUUCGGAUUGUAAACUUCUUUUAUGAGGAAAGAUUAUGACGGUACCUCAUGAAUAAGACGCUGCUAACUACGUGCCAGCAGCAGCGGUAAUACGUAGGCGUCAAGCGUUAUCCGGAUUUAUUGGGCGUAAAGGGUCCGUAGGCGGACUGACAAGUCUGAUAUCAAAGAUCUCGGCUUAACCGAGGGAAGGUGUUGGAAACUGUUAGUCUAGAGGCCGGUAGAGGUUACUGGAACUUAUCGAGUAGGGGUAAUAUCCGUUGAUACGAUAAGGAACACCAAAGGCGAAGGCAGGUAACUGGGCCGGCCCUGACGCUCAGGGACGAAAGCGUGGGGAGCGAACGGG
rnacentral:rRNA from 1 species